GCAGCGGCGGAAGUCCCCGGGGCCCAUCGCGGAGACGCCUGGUCACUGCUCUACCGCUGCUGCUGAAAGACAGGCAAAGCAAAUUGAAGAAUUGGAGCACUGAAUAUAACAUCCACAGACAUUUGAAUUAGAAAAUGUAUUAAUUAUUUAUUGCUGCAUAACAAAUUACUCCAAAAUUCAAUGGUUUAAAAAAAUAAACAUUUAUUUUCUCUGACAGCUUCUGUGGGAAAGAAUUUGGGAACAGCUUAGGUUAUGGUCCUUAGCUUUUAUGCUGUUGUAACCAAAUGUCAGGCAAGGUCUCCAUCCUCUGAAGCUGGAUGUGAUUGGCGCUGGAGGAUCUGCUGGCAAGGUGAAUCACUUAGAUGAAUCACUCAAAUGCCAGGCAAUUGGAGCCAGCACUUGGUGGGAGGCCUCAGUUCCUCUCCAUGUGGACUCUUUCCUACUAUUGUGUAAGCGUCUUCAUGAUAUAGUGGGUAGACUUCCCUCAAAACAAGAAGAGAGAAAUACAGAGAGCCAGAGAGAAGCUCUUUACAUGUGCUCUGAACUACAUUUUUAUGACCUGGCUUUGGAAGUCAGUUAUUACCAUUCUGCUGAUCAGUAUCA
rnacentral:lncRNA from 1 species